rnacentral:rRNA from 1 species
CUGGGAAGUGCGAACGUAGAGGGUGAUAUUCCCGUACACGAAAGGGCACACAUAAUGAUGACGAGUAGGGCGAGGCACGUGAAACCUUGUCUGAAUAUGGGGGGACCAUCCUCCAAGGCUAAAUACUCCUGACUGACCGAUAGUGAACCAGUACCGUGAGGGAAAGGCGAAAAGAACCCCUGUGAGGGGAGUGAAAUAGAUCCUGAAACCGCAUGCAUACAAGCAGUGGGAGCACCUUCGUGGUGUGACUGCGUACCUUUUGUAUAAUGGGU